GUAAUAUCCGGGCCCAAUUUGAGCCCAAAACCUUUUUGGGCCUGUACUUGAGCAUUUGGGCCCAUUGUUGGCAGCCAUUUGAUUGCUGCUAUCUCAUGCCUGAGGAUGGAUGUGACUAGGGUAGGGACAGCUGGGAAGCUGUGGAGGGCCCAGCUGUUAGGCCCUUCACGAGGAGGAAGCUGGGGGUGACACGUCACCCCAGCUAAAGAUCCUGAUGUUGUGUAUUCCUAGGGCUCUCUCUCUCACUAUACCCCC
rnacentral:lncRNA from 1 species